rnacentral:rRNA from 1 species
GACGAACGCUGGCGGCGUGCCUAAUACAUGCAAGUUGAGCGCUGAAGGUUGGUACUUGUACCGACUGGAUGAGCAGCGAACGGGUGAGUAACGCGUGGGGAAUCUGCCUUUGAGCGGGGGACAACAUUUGGAAACGAAUGCUAAUACCGCAUAAAAACUUUAAACACAAGUUUUAAGUUUGAAAGAUGCAAUUGCAUCACUCAAAGAUGAUCCCGCGUUGUAUUAGCUAGUUGGUGAGGUAAAGGCUCACCAAGGCGAUGAUACAUAGCCGACCUGAGAGGGUGAUCGGCCACAUUGGGACUGAGACACGGCCCAAACUCCUACGGGAGGCAGCAGUAGGGAAUCUUCGGCAAUGGACGAAAGUCUGACCGAGCAACGCCGCGUGAGUGAAGAAGGGUUUCGGAUCGUAAAACUCUGUUGGUAGAGAGGAACGUUGGUGAGAGUGGAAAGCUCAUCAAGUGACGGUAACUACCCAGAAAGGGACGGCUAACUACGUG